rnacentral:rRNA from 1 species
GACAGAGGGUGCAAACGUUGUUCGGAAUUACUGGGCGUAAAGCGUGUGUAGGCGGCCAGGCAAGUCGGAUGUGAAAGCCCAGGGCUCAACCCUGGAAGUGCACUCGAUACUGCUUGGCUAGAGUGUCGGAGAGGUUGGUGGAAUUCUCGGUGUAGAGGUGAAAUUCGUAGAUAUCGAGAGGAACACCGGUGGCGAAGGCGGCCAACUGGACCAUUACUGACGCUGAGGCGCGAAAGCGUGGGGAGCAAACAGG